rnacentral:lncRNA from 1 species
CAGAUUUGGGGGAGGCUCAGGCAAGUGGCUUUUCAGCUUAAGUAUUUCUGCAGAAUUCUUUCUUCAUGAAAGCUAAAGCACGUUAAAUCCCCAUAGAGCAGGAGCAGGCCAAGGUUGCUCUGUGUGCUUAAAACAGAUACUCAGCAUUGAAAAUGAACUGGAAAGAGUGGAGGAGAGGAGAACUGAAAACAGGGAUAUUCAAGUCAACAGCAUUGCAGAGAGAGUAAUCAAAGGCCAAAAAAUGUGCAAGCUGUAUCAGCAAGUUAAGGUGAAAGAUCUCUGGCAGGCCUACCAGAAGGUGGACACCAGGAUAGCAUCUGCUAACUCCCCAUUGGUCUCCUCCUAUGGGGAAAACUACUCUUGUGGGAUGGUUGUGUUGGUUGGUGCAGAAAAGUCCUUUAGUGCUUCUUGAUAAACAGCAGCCUUUUCCAGGAACAGAUGUAAAAAUCUUUUAUUGAGGUUUAUAGGAAUAAAAGUUUUAUUUCUUCCA